CGCGAGUUCCGGGUGGGCGUGGGCUCGGCGGACCCCGCACUCGGAGCGGCCGGCCGGCCCCACAGGCCCCGGGCAGAGAGGGGCUUAGCACCUGGGCCAGCAGCUGCUGUGCUCAAUUUCUCCCCGGGCCUUAGCUGCCUUCCCACGGCUCGGGGCUCGGGACCUGCAGCCCGCCAUGCCUGAGCCUCCCCGUCACCCUCCAUGGGCUCCUGUGCGGCCGCAGCCGAUGUGAAGAGCACUCAGUAUGAUGACCGGAGACACAGCUGUUGGAUGGAAAAAGUUUAUGUCAAUUAAAAUCCUGAAUUUCUCUGAUCUGGAAAGAAAAACUGCUAUGAACUCUUUAGAUGCCAACACAAGUGCUGAAGAGGAUGCUACAUGAGAGAGAUGGAUUCGUAUGUGGAAAAGCCUUCUAAGGAUAAAGUCUACCAUAUACUGACUUACUUUCAGAGGUAACAAGGGUUGGUGAGAUCUCAGUAGCAUCCUUCUCACCAGGAGGUCAGUCUCUUAAACUUCAAGUGGAAAAAAGAUGAGAUGAGGUGACUGUGCUGAAUUUGAAAUAUGUGCCCUAAUCCCAAUGUUAUUUUGUUGUUGCUGUUAUGUUUGUUUCAAAAAUAAUUACAAGGUAAUUGCCCUCUGAUUUCUGUUACCCACAGAACCUCAGCUCUCACCUUACCCCCAGCUUUAAUGAGGCUUCUUUUUGGUCAAUUCCAAUAAGAACUCUCUAAGUCACCUGGGCUGCUCUGAAAUCCACCUUACAGUGACUCAGGAAUGCAGUCAAUACAAUGGUAGAAAGUGGCCCUGGCAAGGAAAGACUUUAAAACACAUAGAACAAAUCAGCCCAGAGGCUCUGCCAGCAGUGCUACCCUCAACAAGUGGCAAUGUGGUGACCUUUAGGAAUCCCAUGUUUGGUUCCAACUUCUUUCCCUUUAUAAGGGAUUAAUCAAGACAUGGCUUCCAGCACUUUCAUUGGUAUUAACAUGUGAAGUUGGGAAGUCAGCUUGGAGGACCUUACUGCCAUUAGAAAUGGGCUCCAGCCUUCUAGGAAUGCCUCUGUCUUUCACCUACCUAAAGGAUCAGCAUUGGAGGAAACUUUCUUAAUUUGUAAUCACUCCCAGUGUAUUGGAACUCCCUGGGUAUAAACCCUAGCUUUACCAUUUGCUUGACUGUGGCAAAGUUAAUUAACCUCUUUGAGCUUCAUUUUCUUAAACAUGAGCUAUAUGGAGUCAUUAGAGUUCAUUGAGUUUACCCAUGUAAGAUUCUGAACAUUAGUGCCUGGUACAUAAAUGCUCAGUUAAGUUGGCUAUCAAUAUUGAUAUCAUGGCUACUAAAAUAUUAUAAAGCCCUUUAAGCUUUUCUAAUCCAUGUGUUCACUGCUAAUAACCUCAUCCUGAACAAGUGCAAAUCUAAAUUGAUGGUGAUACUCUUUCCACCCAUUCCCAAUUCUAACUUCUGACUUCUGCUACUUGACUACUCUUCCCACAGCAUUUUCACCUCUCGCCUUAUAUCUGUUACAUAACACCCAGCUCCUACUUCACAAUCUGAACAUAAGUUGGUCUCGUGGGUCAGCUCAUCCUCAGCCACCUUGGAUAAUAUCUCUCCUUUAUGCUACCCAGGGUUUCUUAGCUUUUCCACUCCAGGAGCUCCUUUGACACUGUGGCAAAGCCUAUGAAGCCAUUCUGAGAAUAUUUUAAAUGUGUAAAAAUACCCAGGAAUUUUAAAGGAAAUAAAUUCUAUUGGAUUACUGUUAUGUAUGUUAAAAUAAAGGUAUGACAUAG